rnacentral:tRNA from 1 species
GGGAUGAUGGCGUAAUCGGCAGCCGCAGCCGACUUAAAAUCGGCUGCCCGCAAGGGCGUCCGGGUUCGAGUCCCGGUCAUCCCACCA